rnacentral:rRNA from 1 species
GAUGAACGCUGGCGGUAUGCCUAACACAUGCAAGUCGAACGGUCACUUAGGUGAUAGUGGCGGACGGGUGAGUAACGCGUGAGAAUCUGCCCUCAGGAUGGGGACAACAGUUGGAAACGACUGCUAAUACCCGAUGUGCCGCAAGGUGAAAGAUUUAUCGCCUGAGGAGGAGCUCGCGUCUGAUUAGCUAGUUGGUAAGGUAAAGGCUUACCAAGGCAUCGAUCAGUAGCUGGUCUGAGAGGAUGAGCAGCCACACUGGGACUGAGACACGGCCCAGACUCCUACGGGAGGCAGCAGUGGGGAAUUUUCCGCAAUGGGCGAAAGCCUGACGGAGCAAUACCGCGUGAGGGAGGAAGGCUCUUGGGUUGUAAACCUCUUUUCUCUGGGAAGAAAAAAAUGACGGUACCAGAGGAAUAAGCAUCGGCUAACUCCGUGCCAGCAGCCGCGGUAAUACGGAGGAUGCAAGCGUUAUCCGGAAUCAUUGGGCGUAAAGCGUCCGUAGUGGUUUUUCAAGUCUGCUGUCAAAGCCUGGGGCUUAACCCCAGAUAGGCAGUGGAAACUGGGAGACUAGAGUUCGGUAGGGGUAGCGGGAAUUCCCAGUGUAGCGGUGAAAUGCGUAGAUAUUGGGAAGAACAUCGGUGGCGAAGGCGCGCUACUGGGCCGAAACUGACACUCACAGGACGAAAGCUAGGGGAGCGAAAGGGAUUAGAUACCCCUGUAGUCCUAGCUGUAAACGAUGGAAACUAGGUGUGGCUUGUAUCGACCCGAGCCGUGCCGAAGCUAACGCGUUAAGUUUCCCGCCUGGGGAGUACGCACGCAAGUGUGAAACUCAAAGGAAUUGACGGGGGCCCGCACAAGCGGUGGAGUAUGUGGUUUAAUUCGAUGCAACGCGAAGAACCUUACCAGGGCUUGACAUGUCGCGAAUCUCUUAGAAAUAGGAGAGUGCUUCGGGAACGCGAACACAGGUGGUGCAUGGCUGUCGUCAGCUCGUGUCGUGAGAUGUUGGGUUAAGUCCCGCAACGAGCGCAACCCUCGUUUUUAGUUGCCAUCAUUAAGUUGGGCACUCUAGAGAGACUGCCGGUGACAAACCGGAGGAAGGUGAGGAUGACGUCAAGUCAGCAUGCCCCUUACGCCCUGGGCUACACACGUACUACAAUGGUUGGGACAACGGGUAGCGACCCCGCGAGGGCAAGCGAAUCUCAUCAAACCCAGCCUCAGUUCAGAUUGCAGGCUGCAACUCGCCUGCAUGAAGGAGGAAUCGCUAGUAAUCGCAGGUCAGCAUACUGCGGUGAAUUCGUUCCCGGGCCUUGUACACACCGCCCGUCACACCAUGGAAGCUGGCCACACCCGAAGUCGUUACCCUAACCCUUGUGGAGGGGGACGCCGAAGGUGGGGCUAGUGACUGGGGUGAAGUCGUAACAAGGUAGCGUACCGGAAGGUGU